rnacentral:tRNA from 1 species
GGGCCAUUAGCUCAAUUGGCGGAGCAGGACACUCUUAAUGUCAAGGCCGCAGGUCCGACUCCUGCAUGGCCCA